rnacentral:tRNA from 1 species
GGAGUAGUGGCUGAGUGGUUUAAAGCGUUAGUUUCGAAAACUGAUUUGAAUCUUAUUCAACAAGGGUUCAAAUCCCUUCUUCUCCA